rnacentral:rRNA from 1 species
UACGUAGGGGGCGAGCGUUGUCCGGAUUUAUUGGGCGUAAAGAGCUCGUAGGCGGUUUGGCAAGUCGGGUGUGAAAACUCCGGGCUCAACUCGGAGACGCCACUCGAUACUGCUAUGACUCGAGUCCGGUAGGGGAGUGCGGAAUUCCUGGUGUAGCGGUGAAAUGCGCAGGUAUCAGGAGGAACACCGGUGGCGAAGGCGGCACUCUGGGCCGGUACUGACGCUGAGGAGCGAAAGCGUGGGGAGCGAACAGG